GUCUUUUACUUACUGAGUUCUUAGCUUUUCUGCUAUUCUUACAAAUUCUGCUUUCUUAGCAUGUUCUGCUUUCAUCUUCCAGUUCUGACGCUGUUGACCAGAACCUCCAGUACUGAAAUAGCUGUCAUUCUGCUGCUGCUGCUGCUGCU